UGUGAAAAAUCAUAUUGCUGGACUUGUAGUUCUAUUAAUCUUCAGCACUGAAACAGUUAAUUGCUGAAGACCUUGCUGGGCUUGCAGUUUCCCUCCCACAGGAAGAAGAAAGAUUCCUGCCACCAAUAGGAGAGCAGCUUUCAGACUGAGGAGUUGCAGCCAAUGAGAGAAAGACUGACUUCUGAAAGAAGGAAAAGGAAGAGGGAGAACUUCCAGGAAGGCAGAGAGAUCUGGGGGAGAUAGAGCUGUGCUGCAUGUGAGAUGGAAUCCUCUCUUCACAGAGACCAGUGACUGUCUGCUAUCUGAAGAGGAGUGUUACAGAUCACACCACAUGGUGACUGCUUAGUCUGCUCUAUAUCUGGAGAAACUCAGUAGCUAUGCACAAACAAAUACAUUUAGAAGCAGAUUCAGAAUGGACCAACAGAGAGAAACCAGGCAGGCAACAUUCCUCUCCAGGCGAGGCUUAAAGGUGCAGACACUGAUGGAGAUGGAUCAGCAUUUAGAUUUGCCAAAGUUUAGCAGGACACCUCCGUAAGUAUAUGGAUUCACAGUACAGAUAUGGGAUGCAUAAUCUGAAACCUGGUAUAGAGGGAGAGAUGGAUAGAGGGAGAGAGAUAUAUAUUCUAUAUACAUAUAGAUAUAUAUUCUGAUAUUCUGAUCAUUGUUUCUGUCACUGGUGGUGUACUAAUAUAGGCUUCAUCUAAAUAUAAUAAAUUGUAAUUUCCGUACCAGUACUUGAUGUUAUAAAGUUACUCUUCAUCGUCCCCUUGAAGUAAUCUGUAUCUGCCUUCUGACUUUUUAUUUUUAAGAAACUGUUAGCUUUAAUACAUUGGAGCUCAUUAACUGUAUAAAUACUGGGCGACUUUGCUCCUGCAACCAAUUAGUGAUUAGCUUUUUUUUCAGCCUCAUAUUUAUAAAUGACCCUUAUUGCAUGGGCAAAGGGAUUGCAUAUCCGUGAUAAAAUUUACCAAUCUGUUCAUCAAAAUCUCCUGCAAAAACAGGGACAGACUGUUGUUGCCCAUGGUAUGAGCUUAAAAGAUAUGUUUCAAUUACCAGUCAAAAUUGAGCACAGAUUACAUAAUUAGCAACAGGAAAAGUCGCACUCUCUAAUACAAUGCAAAGCAGAAAGCACACUUGAUUUCUAGUACCCCAAUGACCCGUAACAGAGUGUAGGGAAGAAGGGGCAUGACAAAAGCCUGAGUUUGCAUAGGCCCUUACCUACUCAAUCGGGAUUGGUUAAUGGGUCUCUGGGGAGAUGAUGUCACAAAAGCAAAUUGUAGAGCGGGAAAGAAGUUACCUCAGGCAGUUCAUUUUGGACAGCACAAGAAAGCGUUGUAAAAAAUGGAGCGGAGCGAGUUAGCAGACCUGGUUCGGAGGAUGCGGGAGCAGCAGAGCACCAGGACCCUGAGUGGUUUCAGCAACAGUUGGGAGAUAUCUUCGGAGGCAGAGAGGAUUUCCAGCCUGUCGGUGAGGUGGUUGCGACUGGAGAGGGCGACACUAGACCGCAGCGUCGCUCGAGGCCGCCUGAAAGGUUGAGUGCUCAGCAAGAAGGUGGUGCGACGAGAGCGGUCGGAGAAGCAGUGCGGGUCAGCAGGAGAGCGAGGUGCGGAAGAGAGUAAGUGUGGCAGCAGAGAAGGGGAGCGGAGGACGGUCGGGAGCGGAGGCGCGGCGUACAGUUACUCGUGGCAGGCAAGUGAGCAGCAAGGCCCGACCCACGGCUCCAGUUAUAGAGGGGGGACAGAGGCGGGGAGAGUCACCGGCGGUUGCGGCCCAAAAAGGUCAGGGCAGGAUUUCCGCAGGCUCUGGAAAGAGUGGUGGCAAGGGGGGGGGCGCCUCCAUUGGACAGAGACACGGGGGGGAAUACAGAUGAAGUGGGGCAGAGUCACGUCCCGUUGGUGGGCACAAGCCAAUUGCCACAGGCACAAGGGGAUGGUAACAAGGAACUGGGAGCAAGUAGGGAAGCCAGGGGAAAAGGCAAGUGAAGGCGAGGAGGCGGCCUCAGUUCCUGCUGGUGGUCGGGAAAAAAGGGGGAUAGAAGUCUCGUCAAGGGGUUACCACACGGAGCCAGGUACUAGCAACAUAUCGGAUUGGGCUGUCAGAUUUUCAAGGGAAAGGAGUGACAGUUCUAGGAGAGGUAAUGAUAGAUGGAGGAGUACAGACAAGUCCCCUAGGCGUCAGAGGAGU